CUUUGCUGGAGCAACUGGCGACAGGGAGGAGCCACCCAGGGGUCAGUUGGAGCACCCAGGGCCCACUGAAGCAGAGCCGGUGUGUGAGGAGGCCUGGGGGUGGGUUCAUGUGAGCCCGUGGGGAGGGGACAGGGCUGGACUGCACAGAGCAGAGCUGCCAGAAGCUGAGGAGCGGACGCAGCAAUGAGAAACUCAGCCCAAUCAUGUGGCCGACUGCAGUCUGGAAGACUUCCUGGGUGUGGAGUUUCUCUGAGUUUCUCAGAAAGGCAGAGGGAAGAUUUUUGUCAGUAGAAGGCACAUGGAAAGUCAGUCAUGUUAGUGAUCUUUCCUCCUCUGGCAGCUCCAGAGCCAGCUCCAGUUCAAGCUCAAAAGCCACCUUCAGAGUGUGUGUCAGGGCUAGGUCCACCACCAGCUCCAGCUGCAGCCUUAACCAGCCGCUCUAGGGAAAUCUGCAGAGCUGGAAGCAAGAGCAGCAACCACCGUAGCACCAGCUCCCGAGCUCCUUUGCAAGCUCCAUCAACAGCUCCAGCUCCAGGGCUAAGGCAGUCCCAGCAAGAGCACCAGAUCCAGCCAUGCAGCCACUGCAGGCUCUGGCCCCAACUCCAGCUCCAGAGCCCAAGCCAGUUCCAGCUCCAGGUCUUGAGACAACAACAGAACCUGCUGCUGUUUUGUUAUAACCAUCCUGACUGUUCCUAUGAAGGAUCCUUCUGCCUUUUCAUAACCUGUGUGCUGUUGUUUAAUUCUCAUGGAGAAUGACAAGUUCCACUAAAAUAUGCACAUGGCAUCUCCAAGAAACAGAAGCAAGAAUUAAAGUGAAGGGGUGGUAGGCAAAAAAGGCCAAGAAUGACCAUGAUUAGACCAAGGAACUUCCACUUCCAAGCCGUAGCUGGCUGCAUCCUCUUCAUGACUCUUGGGAAAAUAUUUUCUGUGGAGUCUAAAAGAAACAAAAAUACACCUGAAAAGAAAAAAAGGUAAGCAUUCCUUACAAAAGAGAAAAUUUCCCUUCCAUGUUAUGUGUCUACAGACAAAUAUUUUUCUUCACAUGCACUUUUGGAGUAAGGACUAUAUGCGUAGCUAUAGUUUACACCUGUAUAUACUCAGGAAGUAUUUGGAUUAUGAUGGUAUGAUGAUAGUUGUUAAAGAAAGUUCUUUUGCAUGUGAAAAAGAAAGGGAAGACAAGGCAAACAGCAGUCUGUUCAGCAUUAUCCUUUCAAUGAAUUCUA
rnacentral:lncRNA from 1 species